rnacentral:rRNA from 1 species
GAUGAACGCUGGCGGCGUGCCUAAUACAUGCAAGUCGAGCGAACAGACGAGGAGCUUGCUCCUCUGACGUUAGCGGCGGGCGGGUGAGUAACACGUGGAUAACCUACCUAUAAGACUGGGAUAACUUCGGGAAACCGGAGCUAAUACCGGAUAACAUGUUGAACCGCAUGGUUCAACAGUGAAAGACGGUUUUGCUGUCACUUAUAGAUGGAUCCGCGUCGCAUUAGCUAGUUGGUAAGGUAACGGCUUACCAAGGCAACGAUGCGUAGCCGACCUGAGAGGGUGAUCGGCCACACUGGAACUGAGACACGGUCCAGACUCCUACGGGAGGCAGCAGUAGGGAAUCUUCCGCAAAGGGCGAAAGCCUGACGGAGCAACGCCGCGUGAGUGAAGAAGGUCUUCGGAUCGUAAAACUCUGUUAUUAGGGAAGAACAAAUGUGUAAGUAACUAUGCACGUCUUGACGGUACCUAAUCAGAAAGCCACGGCUAACUACGUG